AGGUCCAAAUGAUCCACGCUUCUUUCCUACAAAUCCUUCUACUCCUUUUGGUGACCUUGGGAGUGUUCCGCCCGGUAGACGCUAUGAUCCAAUUGGCCCGCCCGGUGUUCCAGGAUUUGAACCAUCUCGCUUUGUGAGGUAAGUUGGCUUUUCUUAACAUUUUCUAUAGACCCACUUUAUGCUUGGCAACCGGUAAGGCUCAAGAUGGCCUGUUAUUGUAUCUGAUACUAUCGCUUUAGAAAGGUUUGUUGUCUCAAGUAAGAAACAAACCGUUCUUAUAGUUCAUUUUUUUCGCGCUGAUUGCUAACUCACAUCCAAUGCAACAUCUAGCACAAUACAAAUUUCUAUAUAUUCUAAUUUAUUUCUUAAGCAAGACCCAGUGCAGCCAAGAGGACAGUUUUGUCGUGUUUAGUUUAUCAUUAUGUAAAAUAUUUUGGGUACUUGCUCUGUUGACUGGCCUUAUGUUGAAUAGUUUUGAUAUUCCAGUUUAUAAUUUCGAGUUUUUGACCCUGGUUCCUUGUAUAUAGUGUGAAGGAUUUCUUCUCUGAAGAACAGACCAGGAAUUAUAAAGAUUUGCACAAGAAUUUUACGGACUUCAUUCAUAUCCUGAACUUAAGCUUAUUGGCUGAAUUGAAUGGUAAGGAUGCUGCUGCCGCCCAGAAUCCUAAUGUUGAGAGCAGUUCGUCAAUAAACAGGUAUUUCUAUGCUCGGUUUUAAACUUGUGGCAUGUCCCAUCUCCAUCUUUGACACUAAAAAUAAGACUAAGUUCCUGUUUAUCUCAUCGCAAACAAAUAAUCUAGUAUAUUGCCCUCUGUAAUUACUUCCAUGUUGCACUUUUACUUGGUACAAAUGAAUUAAUAUCAUUAUUUAGGGAAUUUGGGCUUUUAUGGUAAUAUUCUGAUGAUUAUCCUCCUUUGCCUAAAGUUUAACUUCCAAAGCUUUUCUGUUGUAGCCGACCCCAUUUUUUUAAUAAUUCUCUAACACGUGGCACUUCUCCUUGCAGUUCUGGAAAUGUUAUGUUCGAAAACCAAGUACAAGGAUAACUGUACCAGCCGGGUAAGCAUACCACCAUUUGUAUUUCCCCUUCUUCUUUUGUGUGGCACUCCUUUUAUUCACCUUUUUUGUACUUUGUUGGAACUUCUUCCAGUUCUGAAUAUGUUCUGUGGGAAAACCGGUUUACAAGGAUGAUUGAACCUGCCGGGUACGAAUACAACCAUUUGUAUUUCCCUUUCUUCUUUUUUGUGGCACUUCUUUAUACACCUUUUUUGUAUUUUGUUGUCACUUCUCCUUCCAGUUCUGAAAACGAUCUGUGGGAAAAACCCAAGUACAAGGCACAACCAUUUGUAUAUCCCAUUCUUCUGUUGUGUGGCACUCCUUUAUUCACCUUUUUGUACUUUGUGGUUAUUUUAUUGAGUCCUGUCCAAUCUGAUUAGAAAUCUCUAAGGCUUAGCCACUAGUGAGUCCUUCCUAGUUUUCUUGUACUUCAUUCAUACCUACACCGCCUUCGAUGACAAGCUGAAUGUCUUGGAACAUACCUUCGGUCCUGAUAUCAACUGGCCUUGUUCACUUUUCAUGGGCAUGCAUUUCCUUACGCAUAUUCUAUUGCCAUCUAAUUUUGUACGCAUAUAUAUAAGAACAUCCUUUUGCUCUAUACUUGUACUCUGUCCUGUCCUUUUGCUACAUCACGCAUAUGAUUAUUUAUUUAUUUAUUUGAAAUUAGGUACAUGUGCCUGAAUUGACACUUUAUAGUACUCUGAAUUUCCUAAGAAUUUUCUUUACAAGUGCACAAACUAGUGUAGGGGCCGGUUCAUAUCAACUUAAUUUCGGUUUUACCAAAAUUUGCACUCACUAGCACUCUUUGUAGGAUAAAUAGGCUACCAGUGAAUUGGUUAUAGGAUAUUGAUAACGGGGCUAAUAUUUCCGUUUAUGUAUUGUGGUACAGGUUGAUUUAUCCUCCAGUAGCUCCAGUUGAUCAUGAUGACACCUUCGCUGUUCCUGAUGUUGGCUUCUACCCUCACAGUGGUGGGACAGGUGGUAGUAUGCACGUAGGUCCAAAUGAUCCACGCUUCUUUCCUACAAAUCCUUCUACUCCUUUUGGUGACCUUGGGAGUGUUCCGCCCGGUAGACGCUAUGAUCCAAUUGGCCCGCCCGGUGUUCCAGGAUUUGAACCAUCUCGCUUUGUGAGGCAUUCGAGGCAUUCAAGUCCUUCAGGUGGAAGCACUCACCCAGACCUUGAGUUCUUCCAGCAAGGCCCAGACUUCUUGUGAGACU